rnacentral:rRNA from 1 species
UACGUAGGGGGGCAAGCGUUGUCCGGAUUUAUUGGGCGUAAAGAGCGUGUAGGCGGCCUGAAAGGUCAGCUGUGAAAACUCGAGGCUCAACCUCGAGACGUCGGUUGAAACCAUCUGGCUAGAGUCCGGAAGAGGAGUGUGGAAUUCCCGGUGUAGCGGUGAAAUGCGUAGAUAUCUGGAGGAACACCGGUGGCGAAGGCGGCAUCCUGGACCGGCAUUGACGCUGAGGCGCGAAAGCCAGGGGAGCAAACGGG